CAGCAGCCGCGGUAAUACGAAGGGGGCUAGCGUUGUCCGGAUUUACUGGGCGUAAAGGGUGUGUAGGCGGCACGUUAAGUCUGUUGUUAAAUUUCUCGGCCUAACCGGGGUACAGCGACAGAUACUGGCGAGCUAGAGGAUGGGAGAGAGGAGUGGAAUUCUCGGAGUAGCGGUUAGAUGCGUAGAUCUCGAGAGGAACACCGAUGGCGAAGGCAGCUCCUUGGCCCAAUCCUGACGCUGAGGCACGAAAGCGUGGGUAGCAAACAGGAUUAGAUACCCGCGUAGUCCCUGUCUCUUAUAC
rnacentral:rRNA from 1 species